rnacentral:rRNA from 1 species
GGCUUAUGGUCCCGAUGGGCGAAGCAGCCUUCUGGCAUAAUACUGACACUGAGGCUCGAAAGCGUGGGUAGCAAACAGGAUUAGAUACCCUGGUAGUCCACGCCGUAAACGAUGUCUACUAGUCGUUGGGUCCCUUGAGGACUUAGUGACGCAGCUAACGCAAUAAGUAGACCGCCUGGGGAGUACGGCCGCAAGGUUAAAACUCAAAUGAAUUGACGGGGGCCCGCACAAGCGGUGGAGCAUGUGGUUUAAUUCGAUGCAACGCGAAGAACCUUACCUGGUCUUGACAUAUCUAGAAUCCUGCAGAGAUGCGGGAGUGCCUUCGGGAAUUAGAAUACAGGUGCUGCAUGGCUGUCGUCAGCUCGUGUCGUGAGAUGUUGGGUUAAGUCCCGCAACGAGCGCAACCCUUGUCCUUAGUUACCAGCGGGUUAAGCCGGGAACUCUAAGGAUACUGCCAGUGACAAACUGGAGGAAGGCGGGGACGACGUCAAGUCAUCAUGGCCCUUACGACCAGGGCUACACACGUGCUACAAUGGUAGGUACAGAGGGCAGCUACACAGCGAUGUGAUGCGAAUCUCAAAAAGCCUAUCGUAGUCCAGAUUGGAGUCUGCAACUCGACUCCAUGAAGUAGGAAUCGCUAGUAAUCGCGGAUCAGAAUGCCGCGGUGAAUACGUUCCCGGGCCUUGUACACACCGCCCGUCACACCAUGGGAGUUGAUUGCACCAGAAGUGGAUAGCUUAACCUUCGGGGGAGCGUUCACCACGGUGUGGUUGAUGACUGGGGUGAAGUCGUAACAAGGUAACCA